CCUACGGGAGGCAGCAGUGAGGAAUAUUGGUCAAUGGACGAGAGUCUGAACCAGCCAAGCAGCGUGAAGGAUGACUGUCCUAUGGGUUGUAAACUUCUUUUAUAAAGGAAUAAAACGAGGCACGUGUGCCUGUUUGCAUGUACUUUAUGAAUAAGGAUCGGCUAACUCCGUGCCAGCAGCCGCGGUAAUACGGAGGAUCCGAGCGUUAUCCGGAUUUAUUGGGUUUAAAGGGAGCGUAGAUGGGUUGUUAAGUCAGUUGUGAAAGUUUGCGGCUCAACCGUAAAAGUGCAAUUGAUACUGGCAGUCUUGAGUACAGUUGAGGUAGGCGGAAUUCGUGGUGUAGCGGUGAAAUGCUUAGAUAUCGCGAAGAACCCCGAUUGCGAAGGCAGCUUACUAAACUGUGACUGACAUUGAUGCGCGAAAGUGUGGGUAUCAAACAGGAUUAGAUACCCUUGUAGUC
rnacentral:rRNA from 1 species